rnacentral:lncRNA from 1 species
AACAAGCCAGUGACACAGGGACCCUGGUGAGCAGGACUGGAGAACUGGUGACCAUGAUGUGCCCUGUCCAAGGGUCCCCACCCAUUCACGUGAGCUGGCUCAAGGAUGGCCUGCCCCUUGCACUCUCCCAGCGCACCCUCCUCCACAACUCUGGCCGCACCCUCAGGAUCUCUCAGGUGCAGCUGGCAGAUUCGGGCGUCUUCACCUGCGUGGCUUCGAGUCCAGCCGGUGUGGCUAACAGGAACUUCACCUUGCUGGUACUCGUGCCCCCUAUCCUGGAACCAGAGGAAUUUCAGAACGACGUGAUGGCUGCCCAAGGCUCUGAAGUAGUCCUUCCGUGUGAG